AGAGUUUGAUCAUGGCUCAGAACGAACGCUGGCGGCAGGCUUAACACAUGCAAGUCGAGCGCCCCGCAAGGGGAGCGGCAGACGGGUGAGUAACGCGUGGGAACGUACCCCCCGGUUCGGAAUAACUCAGGGAAACUUGAGCUAAUACCGGAUACGGCUGGAAGGCGAAAGAUUCAUCGCCGGGGGAUCGGCCCGCGUCCGAUUAGCUAGUUGGUGUGGUAACGGCGCACCAAGGCGACGAUCGGUAGCUGGUCUGAGAGGAUGAUCAGCCACAUUGGGACUGAGACACGGCCCAAACUCCUACGGGAGGCAGCAGUGGGGAAUAUUGGACAAUGGGCGCAAGCCUGAUCCAGCCAUGCCGCGUGAGUGAUGAAGGCCUUAGGGUUGUAAAGCUCUUUCACCCACGACGAUAAUGACGGUAGUGGGAGAAGAAGCCCCGGCUAACUUCGUGCCAGCAGCCGCGGUAAUACGAAGGGGGCUAGCGUUGUUCGGAAUUACUGGGCGUAAAGCGCGUGUAGGCGGGUCUUUAAGUCAGGGGUGAAAUGCCAAGGCUCAACCUUGGAACUGCCUUUGAUACUGGAGAUCUUGAGUCCGGGAGAGGUGAGUGGAACUGCGAGUGUAGAGGUGAAAUUCGUAGAUAUUCGCAAGAACACCAGUGGCGAAGGCGGCUCACUGGCCCGGAACUGACGCUGAGACGCGAAAGCGUGGGGAGCAAACAGGAUUAGAUACCCUAGUAGUCC
rnacentral:rRNA from 1 species